rnacentral:rRNA from 1 species
GCUAUGUUAGCCGGGCGACGGUUGUCCCGGUUUAAGCAUGUAGGCGGAGGUUCCAGGUAAAUCCGGUACCUUUUUAACGCUGAGGUGUGAUGACGAGGCACUACGGUGCUGAAGUAACAAAUGCCCUGCUUCCAGGAAAAGCCUCUAAGCAUCAGGUAACAUCAAAUCGUACCCCAAACCGACACAGGUGGUCAGGUAGAGAAUACCAAGGCGCUUGAGAGAACUCGGGUGAAGGAACUAGGCAAAAUGGUGCCGUAACUUCGGGAGAAGGCACGCUGAUAUGUAGGUGAAGCGGUUUACCCGUGGAGCUGAAAUCAGUCGAAGAUACCAGCUGGCUGCAACUGUUUAUUAAAAACACAGCACUGUGCAAACACGAAAGUGGACGUAUACGGUGUGACGCCUGCCCGGUGCCGGAAGGUUAAUUGAUGGGGUUAUCCGUAAGGAGAAGCUCUUGAUCGAAGCCCCGGUAAACGGCGGCCGUAACUAUAACGGUCCUAAGGUAGCGAAAUUCCUUGUCGGGUAAGUUCCGACCUGCACGAAUGGCGUAAUGAUGGCCAGGCUGUCUCCACCCGAGACUCAGUGAAAUUGAACUCGCUGUGAAGAUGCAGUGUACCCGCGGCAAGACGGAAAGACCCCGUGAACCUUUACUAUAGCUUGACACUGAACACUGGUCCUUGAUGUGUAGGAUAGGUGGGAGGCUUUGAAGUGUGGACGCCAGUCUGCAUGGAGCCAUCCUUGAAAUACCACCCUUUAAUGGCUGGUGUUCUAACGUGGACCCGUAAUCCGGGUUGCGGACAGUGUCUGGUGGGUAGUUUGACUGGGGCGGUCUCCUCCUAAAGAGUAACGGAGGAGCACGAAGGUUAGCUAAUCCUGGUCGGACAUCAGGAGGUUAGUGCAAAGGCAUAAGCUAGCUUGACUGCGAGAGUGACGGCUCGAGCAGGUGCGAAAGCAGGUCUUAGUGAUCCGGUGGUUCUGAAUGGAAGGGCCAUCGCUCAACGGAUAAAAGGUACUCCGGGGAUAACAGGCUGAUACCGCCCAAGAGUUCAUAUCGACGGCGGUGUUUGGCACCUCGAUGUCGGCUCAUCACAUCCUGGGGCUGAAGUAGGUCCCAAGGGUAUGGCUGUUCGCCAUUUAAAGUGGUACGCGAGCUGGGUUUAGAACGUCGUGAGACAGUUCGGUCCCUAUCUGCCGUGGGCGCUGGAGAAUUGAGGGGGGCUGCUCCUAGUACGAGAGGACCGGAGUGGACGCAUCACUGGUGUUCGGGUUGUCAUGCCAAUGGCAUUGCCCGGUAGCUAAAUGCGGAAGAGAUAAGUGCUGAAAGCAUCUAAGCACGAAACUUGCCCCGAGAUGAGUUCUCCCUGAGACUAUAAGUCUCCUGAAGGAACGUUAAAGACGAU